rnacentral:misc_RNA from 1 species
UCUCCGUAGGUGAACCUGCGGAGGGAUCAUUACAGAGUUCUCGCCCUCGCGGGUAGAUCUCCCACCCACUGUUAUCGUUACUGUGUUGCUUUGGCGGGCCGCCGGGCCCCGCUCGGCCGCCGGCUCCGGCUGGCGCGCGCCCGCCAGAGGCCCAGCAAACUCUGGAUGUUAGUGUCGUCUGAGUACUAUAUAAUAGUUAAAACUUUCAACAACGGAUCUCUUGGUUCUG